GAUGAACGCUGGCGGCGUGCCUAAUACAUGCAAGUCGAGCGAACAGACGAGGAGCUUGCUCCUCUGACGUUAGCGGCGGACGGGUGAGUAACACGUGGAUAACCUACCUAUAAGACUGGGAUAACUUCGGGAAACCGGAGCUAAUACCGGAUAACAUGUUGAACCGCAUGGUUCAACAGUGAAAGACGGUUUUGCUGUCACUUAUAGAUGGAUCCGCGUCGCAUUAGCUAGUUGGUAAGGUAACGGCUUACCAAGGCAACGAUGCGUAACCGACCUGAGAGGGUGAUCGGCCACACUGGAACGGAGACACGGUCCAGACUCCUACGGGAGGCAGCAGUAGGGAAUCUUCCGCAAUGGGCGAAAGCCUGACGGAGCAACGCCGCGUGAGUGAAGAAGGUCUUCGGAUCGUAAAACUCUGUUAUUAGGGAAGAACAAAUGUGUAAGUAACUAUGCACGUCUUGACGGUACCUAAUCAGAAAGCCACGGCUAACUACGUG
rnacentral:rRNA from 1 species